GUGGGGAAUAUUGGACAAUGGGCGAAAGCCUGAUCCAGCCAUGCCGCGUGAGUGAUGAAGGCCUUAGGGUUGUAAAGCUCUUUCAGUAGGGAAGAUAAUGACGGUACCUACAGAAGAAGCCCCGGCUAACUUCGUGCCAGCAGCCGCGGUAAUGCGAAGGGGGCUAGCGUUGUUCGGAUUUACUGGGCGUAAAGCGCACGUAGGCGGAUUGGUCAGUUAGAGGUGAAAUCCUGGAGCUCAACUCCAGAACUGCCUUUAAUACUGCCAGUCUAGAGUCCAGAAGAGGUGAGUGGAACUCCUAGUGUAGAGGUGGAAUUCGUAGAUAUUAGGAAGAACACCAGUGGCGAAGGCGGCUCACUGGUCUGGUACUGACGCUGAGGUGCGAAAGCGUGGGGAGCAAACAGGAUUAGAAACCCCAGUAGUCC
rnacentral:rRNA from 1 species